rnacentral:lncRNA from 1 species
CUGUUUUUAUUGGUUUCCUUUUUUCUUUGGUUAUUUUUCUUUCUCCGUUUCAAUCAUUUCUCCUUUUGUUUCCUCUCUGUAAACAAAUAUAAGAGUAUUUAGAUCACUAAAAUAGUGAUCUAAAAUCUUUUAUAUUUCUUUACAGAGGGAUUUUUUUUGUUUCUUUCUUAGUUUUAUCGGUUUUGUUUUUUCUUUGUUUCUUUCUCAGUAUUCACAGUUUUCAUUCUGUUGCACUGGUUUUAAUUAGUUUUCUGUGUUUUGUUGUUUCUUUUGUCGAUUUUCAUUGGUUUUUUCUCUCUCUUUCCAUAUAGGGCAGGAAUAUAUUUUUAUAAACGUUCAACAUUUUCAAAUUAUACAGUACAUUUUUGGUAUACAUCUGAAAGAUUUUUGUUGUUCAAAUUCAACAUUUUUCAGUUACAAGAUUAAUAAUUUUUUAAAUAUAGAUUUUGGUGUCAACCUUUUAUAUACACGUUCCAUAUUCUUCGUAUUUUUUUUGAUAGACACACCAACUAUCAAAAUUCGAAGAGGGCAAACAAAUCUAGCGAUACAAACUCUGGCAUGCUCUUCCCCGAUGCCAGACUCAUUGAGGUGAGAAGAUGCCAAAGAAAACUUAUUCAACACGCCACACCACCGCCACCACCUUCUGGAAACAAAACCUAAUAAGGAAAAUAAAAAUAAAAAGGUCCAUCAUUUUUUGUUUUUGAACAUAGUACAGACGCAAGCGCUCAUACA